rnacentral:lncRNA from 1 species
CUGAGUUCAAAUCUGACCUUGAAAAUUUACUAACUUUGUGAUUCCAGGCAAAGUCAUUUAAUGUGGUUUACCUCAGUUUCCUCAUCUGCAAAAUGAACUGGAGAAAGAAAUGGCAAAACACUUCAACGUCUUUUCCAAGAAAAUCCCAAAUUGGGUCAAGAGGAGGUGAACAUAACUGAACAGUAGAACAAGAGAAUCACAUUUGUCACCCCUGUCUGUGCAUUGUCUGAUGUUGGAGGGAUGUGAAUGAAGAUCCAGAACUGGUCAGAUUCCAGAGUUGCUUGCCUCUUAGGAAAGUUGACCUCAGCUCAAUUGAUGGAUUCACUACCUCCUUGUAACAGUUUCUCAGCUGAAGUGUUUUCAGGUGUGAGUUUCCUAAUGGAAUGCUGGGAUUUGUGUCUGCCAUAUGGUGUCAACAGCAACAUCUGCAUCAACAUCUUCUGGAUAAUAAAAGAGAAAACCAAAUCCUAGAGAAGGAAAAGGAUUUGUCCAAGGCAUGGAAGGGAUGAGGUUAAAUAAUUCCAUAGGAUAUGAGCUGACUUGUGACAUUCCUCAAUUCCUCACUCCAUGAUCCCUGUCUGAAGCUGGGAGCCUGACUAGCAUUGUGAAGAUAAUGGAGUCAACUAACAUGUACUGGUUUGAGAAAUGAGAAUGAAUGGUAUCUUAUAAGCAGAGUGGAGAGAGGCUUCAAUCUGCAGUGCUGGGGAAAAAAAACCCUCUAGUUUGAUGUAUGAAAAUGGAACAGCCAAAGAAAGACUUUUUAAAAAUGUUACAAGCUUCAUCCUACAGGCUUUCAUAAAAAGGUGAGAUGAAAGACAGCAGAUGGAUUUAUCUUUUUUACUUAGCUGUGAAACUACAAAUCAGCUUCAUAUAAACAGAUCUCUCAGCCAAAUAUAGCUUGACAGUAAUUCUAUAAGAUUCAUCAAGUCAAGGAAAGUGAUUAUGUCUGAUGAUAUGAAAUAAUGUGAAAGCAGAGUAUCUCCCAUGAUUUCAAUAUAUAAGACUAAAG